UGGGGAAUAUUGGACAAUGGGCGCAAGCCUGAUCCAGCCAUGCCGCGUGGAUGAAGAAGGCCCUAGGGUUGUAAAGUCCUUUCACCGCUGAAGAUAAUGACGGUAAGCGGAGAAGAAGCCCCGGCUAAUUUCGUGCCAGCAGCCGCGGUAAUACGAAAGGGGCUAGCGUUGUUCGGAAUUACUGGGCGUAAAGCGCACGUAGGCGGCCUUGUAAGAUGGGGGUGAAAUCCCCGGGCUCAACCCGGGAAUUGCCUUCAUGACUGCAAAGCUCGAGGAUGUCAGAGGAUAGUGGAAUUCCGAGUGUAGAGGUGAAAUUCGUAGAUAUUCGGAAGAACACCAGUGGCGAAGGCGACUGUCUGGGACAUUUCUGACGCUGAGGUGCGAAAGCGUGGGGAGCAAA
rnacentral:rRNA from 1 species